CAGGUCUUUUUUCCAGCUCCAGCUGUUGUAAUAGACUGGCACCAGUCACUAUAGUCCCAUCCAUCUACCCCAGCCUCCACAGCACGUGUUAGCUGUGCUCAACAAACUGUAAGGCAGUGGCCUUGAAGCUCAGUCUAUGCAGUGCCAUGAGCUUAAAAUUACACCUGACUGACAUCAAUAACACCCCCCCCCACUGCAGUGAGCAUGAGUGUCAUUCCGGCCUGUGAAAAGCUCUACGCUGCCUUUUCCUGAAUAGGUGGUGAUUGUUGGGUUGAAACUACAGCUGGAUGACGCUUCAAAAAAAAAGGGUGGAGGAUUGGCAGGAAACAGGUGGUCCACAAAGGACAACAGAUAUCGUUCAUGGAGAGGAAACCUCUGCGGGCACGAGGAGGUGUCACCUUAAAGUCUGGGUUUGCUGUCAUUAAUCAGUGACAAAAGAACAAUAACAAUGCCACAGGGACGGAAAAAAAGAGACAAUACCAGCAAUCACAGGCUGACAGUAGGUGGAUAAAUUGACUUUAGUGAUGAAUUUAAGAUUGUAUUGUUGCUAGGGCUCCAUAACUACCCAGCUGCGUUUAGAUCAGUCAUAUUGUAGUAUUGAGGUUGGUGUAUACUAUGCUGGAAUUGCACAAUCACAUGGCCCAGGUAUCCAGUACUCCAGAAUACGUCUAUGCCUUAAGGAGCAUAUUAGCAACUGACAGCUAACUUUUGUGACUGAACUGACUGAAUUGAUUUCUUUAUGUACCUCUAUGACAGCUGGGAUAGGCUCAGAAAAUGUGAGUGCAGCAUAAUUUGUUCUUUUAUCCCUCUGACUGAAUUAUUCGCACCCAGU